rnacentral:lncRNA from 1 species
UGGGUUAUAAGCUGCCAUAUAUUGGUAUAGACAGGUAUGGUUUCUCACUGUCUUCCCCCUUUAUACCCAUGUGAGAGGAGAGGAGGAGGAAGCUUACAUGAGACCCUCCCCCACCCUACCCCACACCCCUCCAGGCUACUCUGCAGGCACAGGUCCCCAGUGUAACACCCCAUCUUCUCAGCCAGGGGCAGAAGCACAGUCCUCGCACUUUCCCCUUCUCUAAGAGACUGCAGGGGGAAAACUGCAAUAAAAGCUCAACCCUCCCUCCCUCCUGAGAUUUUAAAGUCCUUUUUUAUUCCAUGAUGAAUCAAUAAAUCUUUUUUUUUUUUUAGGGGGAGUGGGAGGUCAGACAAGCUGCAUUUCAGAAAUGCUGUCGUAAUGGUUUUUAACACCUUUUACUCUUACUGGUGCUAUUUUGUAGAAUAAAGAACAAUGUUGACAGGUUUUGUGGGAGGUUUUUUUAUAUACUUUUUUUU